UUGUGCGCCGGCGCCUUCACAAUUGCUGGGGAUUUUGGCGACACACAUACAGUGGCUCUGGUCUCCUCAUUCUUUCCUGUUUUUACAGUGUUUACCGUAGUCAACCGGAUCCUUGAUCCUUGGACGCCUUGAUACGACCACAACGCAGCCCUGAAGUAUCAGCAGAAAUUAAAUCAGCUCCUCCAACCAAUCUGCAUUUCAGUAAAUGAAGCCACGCCCACUGCAAUUCACCUGUGAAGCUCCUCCCACAUCACUCACAUCAUCAGUGAGGCUCCUCCCACAUCACUCACAUCAUCAGUGAAGCUCCUCCCACAUCACUCACAUCAUCAGUGAAGCUCCUCCCACAGCAG